rnacentral:rRNA from 1 species
GGGGUGCUCGAGUGGCGAACGGGUGAGUAACACGUGAGUAACCUGCCCUUGACUUUGGGAUAACUUCAGGAAACUGGGGCUAAUACCGGAUAGGAGCUCCUGCUGCAUGGUGGGGGUUGGAAAGUUUUUUCGGUGUAGGAUGAGCCCGCGGCCUAUCAGCUUGUUGGUGGGGUAAUGGCCUACCAAGGCGGCGACGGGUAGCCGGACUGAGAGGUUGGUCGGCCACAUUGGGACUGAGAUACGGCCCAG